ACCUGGGUGGCUCAGUCGGUUAAGCGACUGAUUUCAGCUCAGGUCAUGAUCUUGAGGUCUGUGGGUUCAAGCCCCACAUCAGGCU
rnacentral:tRNA from 1 species